rnacentral:rRNA from 1 species
GACACCUUAAUCCAACAUCGAGGUCGCAAACCCUUCUUUCAAUGUGAACUCUCCAGAAAGAUUACGCUGUUAUCCCUGUGGUAACUUUUUCCGAUAAUCAACAAUGCUGGAUCACUUGUUAGUAAACCAAAAUUCUACAAAUUAACAGAGAAGCUUUUCAUGUUCCCUAGUCACCCCAACUAAAGAUGUAAGAAUAAAUUUAAAAUCCUCUAUUCUAAUAGGAACAACCCCUUUAUUCCACACUAAAGCUCAACAGGGUCUUCUCGUCCCUCAGCUAAAUCUAAGCCUUUUCACUUAGAAGUUAAUUUUUAAAUAUUCCAGGAGAGACAGCUCAGCCCUCGUCAAACCAUUCAUACCAGCCUCCAAUUAAAAGGCAAGUGAUUGUGCUACCUUUGCACGGUCAGUGUACCGCGGCCGUUU